GCGUUGUUCGGAAUUACUGGGCGUAAAGCGUACGUAGGCGGGUUGUUAAGUUAGAGGUGAAAUCCCAGGGCUCAACCCUGGAACUGCCUUUAAUACUGGCAACCUAGAGUUCGAGAGAGGUGAGUGGAAUUCCGAGUGUAGAGGUGAAAUUCGUAGAUAUUAGAAAGAAUACCAAUUGCGAAGGCAGCUUUCUGGAUCAUUACUGACACUGAGGAACGAAAGCAUGGGUAGCGAAGAGGAUUAGAUACCCUCGUAGUCCAUGCCGUAAACGAUGUGUGUUAGACGUUGGAAAUUUAUUUUCAGUGUCGCAGCGAAAGCGAUAAACACACCGCCUGGGGAGUACGACCGCAAGGUUAAAACUCAAAUGAAUUGACGGGGGCCCGCACAAGCGGUGGAGCAUGUGGUUUAAUUCGAUGCAACGCGAAGAACCUUACCUGGCCUUGACAUGCAGAGAACUUUCUAGAGAUAGAUUGGUGCCUUCGGGAACUCUGACACAGGUGCUGCAUGGCU
rnacentral:rRNA from 1 species